AGUCCAACUCCUCAGUUAAUAGCCAGGGAAACAGAAGCCCAGGGAGAUAAAGACGGUGGCAGAGGAGGAAUUCUUUCUUAGCAGAUCUUCCAUUCCUAAUCCAGGAUCAUUUCCAGGGCUCCCAGGUUCUCAAGAUGCUUGAAUCCUGGGACAAACACAGAGGAAGGAGCUCCUAAGGAUGGGGGCAGUGGUGAGGAAACAGGCCACUGAGACAGUGAUGGUGUUUGUAGGCAAAGAAGCUACUUGUAUUUGCCAACCACACCAGGAGGCCAGGGUAAAGUGCAGUAUCUAUACCCAGAGUCACAGCCUGCAGAGCCUCUGGGAGAAGCCGGCCACCAGGAUGCUCUUCCCAGUGACGUAGCUGGCAUCUGUAGAGUGCAGGAAGGACAUGGUUCCUGCACAGUCCUCUUAACCCCUGCAUGGAAAGAGAACAGAACUGAGGCCUCAGCCUAUGCUCUAAUGAA
ensembl:lncRNA novel transcript